UACGGGGGGUGCGAGCGUUGUCCGGAAUCACUGGGCGUAAAGGGCGCGUAGGUGGUUUGAUAAGGGUGUGGUGAAAGCCCGGGGCUCAACCCCGGGUCGGCCGUGCCGACUGUUGAACUCGAGGGCUGUAGAGGCAGACGGAAUUCCGGGUGUAGCGGUGGAAUGCGUAGAUAUCAAGAGGAACACCUGAGGUGAAGACGGGUUGCUGGGCCGACACUGACGCUGAGUGCGCGAAAGCCAGGGGAGCAAACGGG
rnacentral:rRNA from 1 species